rnacentral:rRNA from 1 species
UACGGAGGGUGCGAGCGUUGUCCGGAAUUACUGGGCGUAAAGCGCGCGUAGGCGGCUUUGUAAGUCGGUUGUGAAAUCCCCGGGCUUAACCUGGGAACUGCAUCCGAGACUGCAUAGCUAGAGUAUGGGAGAGGGAAGUGGAAUUUCAGGUGUAGCGGUGAAAUGCGUAGAUAUUGGGAGGAACACCAGUGGCGAAGGCGGCUCACUGGACCGGAACUGACGCUGAGGCGCGAAAGCGUGGGGAGCAAACAGG